rnacentral:rRNA from 1 species
AUUGAACGCUGGCGGCAUGCCUUACACAUGCAAGUCGAACGGUAACAGGUCUUCGGAUGCUGACGAGUCGCGAACGGGUGAGUAAUACAUCGGAACGUGCCCGAUCGUGGGGGAUAACGGAGCGAAAGCUUUGCUAAUACCGCAUACGAUCUACGGAUGAAAGCAGGGGACCGCAAGGCCUUGCGCGGACGGAGCGGCCGAUGGCAGAUUAGGUAGUUGGUGGGAUAAAAGCUUACCAAGCCGACGAUCUGUAGCUGGUCUGAGAGGACGACCAGCCACACUGGGACUGAGACACGGCCCAGACUCCUACGGGAGGCAGCAGUGGGGAAUUUUGGACAAUGGGCGAAAGCCUGAUCCAGCCAUGCCGCGUGCAGGAUGAAGGCCUUCGGGUUGUAAACUGCUUUUGUACGGAACGAAAAGACUCUUUCUAAUAAAGAGGGUCCAUGACGGUACCGUAAGAAUAAGCACCGGCUAACUACGUG